AUGGGGACCCCAAAGUGCCCUGUCCACAAAUGGGGGGGACCCCAAAGUGCCCCGUCCCCAAAUGGGGGGGACCCCAAAGUGCCCUGUCCUGAAAUAUGGGGACCCCAAAGUGCCCCGUCCCCAAAUGGGGGGGGACCCCAAAGUGCCCUGUCCUGAAAUAUGGGGACCCCAAAGUGCCCUGUCCCCAAGUGGGGGGGACCCCAAAGUGCCCUGUCCCCGAAUGGGGGGGACCCCCGUGUCCCCGUGUCUCUGUGUCCCCGUGUCCCCAUGUCCCUGUGUUCCUGUGUCCCCAUGUCCCCGUGUCACGAUGUCCCCAUGUCCCCCUGUCUUUGUGUCCCCGUGUCCCCCUGUCUUUGUGUCCCCGUGUUCCCAUGUCCCCAUGUCACGAUGUCCCCAUGUCCCCCUGUCUUUGUGUCCCCAUGUCCCCGUGUCCCUCUGUCUUUGUGUCCCCGUGUCCCCCUGUCUUUGUGUCCCCAUGUCCCCGUGUCCCCGUCCCUCACCGCCAGCACGGCGCCAUCGCUGAUCACCAGGUAGCCCACCUGGUCCGGGAUGCGCUCCAAGCCCUGGGUCAGCGCCGUCGUC
rnacentral:lncRNA from 1 species